UAAUGAAAAAACCUUUUCCAGGUUUCUACUUUUGAUGGUUUAGCAAUCGACGGCUACCCGAUUGUUCGAUUGCCAUAAAUUAUUUGAAUAACAUUGAUUUUGUAGACGAAGCGGUAAUGGAAUUCUUUUGGAUCGACAAGUUCGUUUUAAAUUUCCUAAUGCAUAAUUCAAAGACAAGAGGAAGAACCCAAGAUAAGAAAAAUUGAUAUUCGAGCGUUGCCAAAUUCUUAUUGGAUAUUCCCAUCCUCCUGUUGCGUCUUGUUAUUGCUCUUUACCCGUCUUGCUCUGACAGCGGGAAACAAAAGCAGACCGCUCCUCCAUCACUCAAAUAGUCAAAUGUUUAGAUAGAAAGACAUCUUAAUUAUUUAUUCUUACCCUAUAAUCGUGGCGCCGAAUCGUGUUUUCGUGUGUUGUUCCCAGUUUCACAUAAAAAUGACCAACAUUGGCCCAUCCUGAAAAGUUCGUCGAAUGGGACAAGCGUCACUAUGGGUAUACUGAUUUCCUGCUAUGAUUCAUGCUGCAGGCCAAAGAUUGCCAAUGGAGAAUCCAUCAACCCUUAUGCAUCGGCUUACAGAAGACAGUCGGAACAAGAUGUUUUGAGGGAGAGGCAAAUGCGAGAUGAAGUCUGUGGCCUGCUUGUUCCAUCCCCAUCAAAGUGCAGUACUGCUAGAAAUGCACCUAUCAUAAAAAAACCAGAAAAAGGAAUGAUGUAUUAUUCAUGCACCACCUACGAAUUUGUGAAGUAGUUUCUUAUCUCUGCUCAAAGAUUACCUUUAAUUCUCAACCAUGUCCUUCUCCAUGUGUCACUGCAGGUAAUCUGUGAUUAUUUCCUUGUGCUUUUUUCCAUGAAAACAUGACAAGUUGUAUAAACCAUUUGACAGAAAUCCACAUUUCAGAAGGAAACAAGAA